ACCCUGACCAAAAUAGACCGUGCUCGCGUCAUCCUGCUUGCCGGCGGCGGCACCGUUCGUCGCUUGGCCAAGUCCUCGUCAACCUCCUCUCUUUGGAGUUGGGGCUCGGGGUAAAAGAACCCACGGCGCCUUAGGCGUCAAGGAACACUGUGCCUAACGCGGGGACGCGGCUGGCUUGCCGGACGCACCCCGUGUUGCAAUGCUAUUUAAUCGACACGACUCUCGGCAACGGAUAUCUCGGCUCUCGCAUCGAUGAAGAACGUAGCGAAAUGCGAUACCUGGUGUGAAUUGCAGAAUCCCGCGAACCAUCGAGUCUUUGAACGCAAGUUGCGCCCGAGGCCACUUGGUCGAGGGCACGUCUGCCUGGGCGUCACGCUAAACACGCUCCUACCCCCUCACCUGGGAUAAGGAUGCGGCAUGUGGCCCCUCGUCUCGCAAGGGGCGGUGGGCCGAAGAUGCGGCUGCCGGCGUAUCGUGCCGGACACAGCGCGUGGUGAGCGACCUCGCUUUACUAACCGCAGUGCAUCUGGCCCGUAGCCGACGUAUGGCCUCAAUUGACCCAUUUAAGCGGAGCGCACGACGCUUCGACC
rnacentral:rRNA from 1 species